GGAGACUAAGAGUGAAUGAUUCUUCAUGCGGAUGAUUCCAAAGCUGGCAACCUAAAGAAAAGCCCAACUACAGUGAAGAACUGAAGUCGAUCCUGAACUUAGAGAAUCAUCAACCAACUUCCCAAGAUCAUGGGACAUUUAGAACUCAAAGACAUACCAUGGACCCUGGGAUGGUUUACAACUUCUCUCUGUGUGUGCAUGCUUCCCAGGGAGUCUCUAGCUUCCAGCACCUUCUAAGUGGUUUUCAUUGUUGCUCUUGUUUUUCUGUGAGUUGAUUUUUUUUUUAUGUGAAUGAGCAUUUUGCCUACAAGUGUGUACGUGCACCACGGGCAUGCGUGGUGCCAACAGAGGUCAGAAGAAGGCCUCAGAUCCCUAAGAACUGGAGUUACAGAUGGUUGUGGGCCACUGUGUGGGUGCUAGGAACCAAACUGGGGUCCUCUCCAAGAGUAGCAAAUGCUAGAACCGCCUCCAGUUCCCCUUCUAAGUGUUUUUCACAGUUGUGUUCUGGGGUGCAACUCACUCCUGCUGAAGGUGCUUUAGCUCCCAGUGCUGUGUAUCAUCAGCUGCUGAGCCCUAAGGAAGAGGAAACAGCAGAGAUUCACUUCCUUACAGUGCUAGAGGCUGCAAGCCCAAGUCUAACACGUCAUUAAGUUUCUCCUGAGGGCCGGGCGAUGGUAGCGCACGCCUUUAAUCCCAGCACU